AACGUAGCGGCAGCUACACAUGCAGUCGAACGGUACUUUUGGUGCUUGCACCGAAAGACGAGUGGCGAACGGGUGCGUAACGCGUAUGCAAUCUGCCUUUUACUAGGGUAUAGCCCAGAGAAAUUUGGAUUAAUCCCCUAUAAUAUCAUUUAAUCGCAUGAUUUUAUGAUUAAAGCUUCGGCGGUAAAAGAUGAGCAUGCGUCCUAUUAGUUAGUAGGUGAGGUAACGGCUCACCUAGACUCCGAUAGGUAGGGGUCCUGAGAGGGAGAUCCCCCACACUGGUACUGAGACACGGACCAGACUCCUACGGGAGGCAGCAGUGAGGAAUAUUGGACAAUGGACGAAAGUCUGAUCCAGCUAUGCCGCGUGCAGGAUGACGGCCCUAUGGGUUGUAAACUGCUUUUAUACAGGAAGAAAAACUCCGACGUGUCGGAACUUGACGGUACUGUAAGAAUAAGGAUCGGCUAACUCCGUGCCAGCAGCCGCGGUAAUACGGAGGGUGCAAGCGUUACUCGGAAUCA
rnacentral:rRNA from 1 species